rnacentral:lncRNA from 1 species
CUUAGCUAAAAAUAAAAUUAGUCUAUUCAUAAGAGGAAAUCAAAUCAUAUGAAAAAUACAAUCGAUUCUUUCCUUUGUUGGCUAUUCCUAGAAAGCACCAAAUAUUCAAUCUAGGACAUAAGGGGGAUGUAUAAAGAUAUCUCACCUUGGUUAGGACCAGUAAUGCUCUUAAGUGAAUAACUAGAAUAUAUCCUUGCUAGCCUAAGUAUUUUUAAGUGAAUAACCAGAAUAGCUUGAACAAGUAAUUCAAAG